UGUUCCUUAUGGUUAUUUCAGGAGUAAAUGAUGAAAAAUUUACCUGGGAGAGGGAACUGCUUGAAUUGCGCGUUGUUCCCCGUGCGUGCAGGACGUAGGUUAAUCGUGCGCACACACCACCCAACUGAGUGUGUGCCCAGUGGCCUUUAAAAAUAAUAAAUACAAGACUCCAAAGCCCUGAAACUAGGUCAUGUUUGUCUGGCGAGUUCCGGGUGUGAGGCUUCGUGUUCCGUGGGAGAAAAAAAGAAGGAUGCUCAAGUUGUUGAUGUGCCGAAGCGGUCACGUGUUUGUAGUCAGCCUGGAGCCCACCCAAGCGAGUUCAGCUCUGACUGCGGGGGUUGAGGAAUCGAGUCGAUCCCUUGCCACCCCCGCAAGUUUGGAGUCUCCCUGAAAGUUGCCUAGACUACUGAUUGGAACAAUAGAAUUGGAAAAAUCAGCACUUACUCAGCAUAUCCCCCUCUUAUUGGUCUUUUGGACCUUGGUGGCAUCGUGGAGGUCCUGUGUUCUUAGAGAUGAACAGUCUUGAACAGUUUACUCCAGGCUGCUUUGGGUUUUCCAGAGGGAACACACUUCGCAUUAGGCAAUGGCUUGCCCUCCUUUUUCAACUCUGUCCUGAUUCUGUGCCAUUUUCACUGGAUGUCUGGCUCACCUCUCAGUUCUGCAAAGCAA